GACGAACGCUGGCGGCGUGCUUAACACAUGCAAGUCGAGCGAGCAGAUUCCCUUCGGGGAUUAAGCUAGCGGCGGACGGGUGAGUAACACGUGGGCAACCUGCCUUAGAGAGGGGGAUAGCCUUCCGAAAGGAAGAUUAAUACCGCAUAACAUCAGAGUAUCGCAUGGUAGACUGAUAAAAGGAGCAAUCCGCUAUAAGAUGGGCCCGCGGCGCAUUAGCUAGUUGGUGAGGUAACGGCUCACCAAGGCGACGAUGCGUAGCCGACCUGAGAGGGUGAACGGCCACAUUGGGACUGAGACACGGCCCAGACUCCUACGGGAGGCAGCAGUGGGGAAUAUUGCACAAUGGGGGAAACCCUGAUGCAGCAACGCCGCGUGAGUGAUGAAGGCCUUCGGGUUGUAAAGCUCUUUGAUCAGGGACGAUAAUGACGGUACCUGAAGGAGAAGCCCCGGCUAACUUCGUGCCAGCCGCCGCGGUAAUAC
rnacentral:rRNA from 1 species